rnacentral:rRNA from 1 species
GAUGAACGCUAGCGACAGGCUUAACACAUGCAAGUCGAACGAGAUCUUCGGAUCUAGUGGCAGACGGGUGAGGAACACGUGGGAACAUCCCUUUCAGUUCGGAAUAACGUUGGGAAACUAACGCUAAUACCGGAUACGUCCUUCGGGAGAAAGAUUUAUCGCUGAAAGAUUGGCCCGCGUCUGAUUAGCUAGUUGGUGAGGUAAUGGCUCACCAAGGCUACGAUCAGUAGCUGAUCUGAGAGGAUGAUCAGCCACAUUGGGACUGAGACACGGCCCAAACUCCUACGGGAGGCAGCAGUGGGGAAUAUUGGGCAAUGGGCGCAAGCCUGAUCCAGCCAUGCCGCGUGAGUGAUGACGGCCUUCGGGUUGUAAAGCUCUUUUGUCCGGGAAGAUAAUGACUGUACCGGAAGAAUAAGCCCCGGCAAACUUCGUGCCAGCCGCCGCGGUAA